rnacentral:rRNA from 1 species
CCUACGGGAGGCAGCAGUGAGGAAUAUUGGUCAAUGGACGAGAGUCUGAACCAGCCAAGUCGCGUGAAGGAUGACUGCUCUCUGGGUUGUAAAUUUCUUUUAUAUGGGAAUAAAAUGUUCCAUGUGUGUGGUUUUGUAUGUACCAUAUGAAUAAGGAUCGGCUAACUCCGUGCCUGCAUCCGCGGCAAUACGGAGGAUCCGAGCGUUAUCCGGAUUUAUUUGGUUUAAAGGGAGCGUAGGGGGAUUGUUAAGUCAGUUGUGAAAGUUUGCGGCUCAACCGUAAAAUUGCAGUUGAAACUGGCAGUCUUGAGGACUGUAGAGGUGGGCGGAAUUCGUGGUGUAGCGGUGAAAUGCUUAGAUAUCACGAAGAACACCGAUUGCGAAGGCAGCUCACCGGACUGCAACUGACAGUGAGGCUCGAAAGUGUGGGUAUCAAACAGGAUUAGAUACCCCAGUAGUC